UACGUAGGUGGCUAGCGUUGUCCGGAUUUACUGGGCGUAAAGAGCGCGCAGGCGGUCGUUCAAGUCGAGUGUGAAAGCCCCCGGCUCAACUGGGGAGGGUCACUCGAUACUGAUCGACUUGAAGGCGGGAGAGGGAAGCGGAAUUCCCGGUGUAGUGGUGAAAUGCGUAGAUAUCGGGAAGACACCCGUGGCGAAGGCGGCUCUCUGGGACGGUACUGGACGCUGAGACGCGAAAGCGUGGGGAGCGAACAGG
rnacentral:rRNA from 1 species